UCUUCGCGAGGGUCAGGAGGCCAGCGUUGCAGCACUACACGUGCAUGGUGGAGAUGCUCGGACGUGCUGGGGAGGUCGAGGAGGCAGAGGGGCUGCUCGCGCGGAUGGAGGCACGGCCAGACAGGAUCAUCUGCACGGUGCUGCUCGCUGCGUGCCGGGCGCAUGGCCGUGUCGAUGUGGCUGAGAGAGUGGCUAGGUUGAUGAGCGAGUAUGGCAUUGUGUGAAUUUUGGCAUAUUGAUCUGUUGACAAACUGGCCAUUGUGUGAGGCUGUUAGCCAAGACCAGUGAUCAAAACCAUUGUGAUAUGGAGCUGAUAACACAUAGUUUGAUUGACGGCAAUGGUGGUUCAUGAAGUUCAUGCAGUAAUGCAGUAUACAACACAAGCACCUGGCCGGUGAGAUCUGAAUUUUGUAGAAGUCUAUGCUGCAGUGGACGGACCACAUGAGCGCCAGCACACUUCACUGCUUGAACCUGUAUGGAAGCACAGUUCGAAGGCACCUAUCAGAUUGCUAUAAAAUGGGUAACGCCGGUACUAUAGACCAUCUGUAGUGGAAUGCCCGUCAGUUUUCUCAGUUGCUGACUGUCUAAGCUCUCUGAGUAGCUUGAUGAUGGGCGUACAUUUCUCAUUUCUGGACUGUAAGUUGUCAAGCUUAAUGGAGCCUGGCAGCCCGUAAUGCAACACAAAGAGAAGUCGCCAAAGUUAAUAGCCGAACUUGUCAAUAUUGUUAAUAGCCGUAACUGUCAAUCUUGACUUCUUGAGUGAAUUGUUGAGGAGCAGUUUCGAUCAAACUGUCAAUCUUGACUUCUUGAGUGAAUUGUUGAGGAGCAGUUUCGAUCAAAUUUUGUUGAAGCUGGAUGUGGUGGGAACUAUCAAAAUACAGGAAGUCUGCUCCAAGAACCUGUUGUGAGAUCUUCUAGGAUUCAGUUUUCGGAUACUUCAUAGUUCUGGCAUUCUCUCACGGUGGAAACUGUACCUCCUGCUAUGUUUCAAUUUACUGAGCAUAGAUCAUCUGUUUUAAAUGGUUAGUCCCUUCACUAUUGUGUCCACUGUCACAGCAAUCAACGGAUCUUAUUCUGGACAUAUGUGCAAUGACGCUUGAGCAAAUCAGCUCUCUGAUAUAAAUACUCACGUUGACGCAAAACGUCCAUCUCGCAUGCGACACAUGGGUGCGAGGGAAUGCGGAGUUGGGUAUUGCUGGUAAGAGACAGAACAAGUGCAACCUGGUUGGGAAACUAGCAGGAGAGAUGAGGAAGCGGUUGUUCUGGUCACGAGCACAGCUGAGCUCGUUAUCUGGGCAGCUCGGCUCUUCAUUGGGAUGCGGUGCAUUCAAUUCCUGUGCCAGUGCGUUGAUCGUUUUUAAAGGAGGAAAUGUGGAAAUACAGUAGAUGGGUACGACGUACGUAGGUCUAGUUACGGAGCGGACGUUUGCUGCCGUGAUGGAUCUAAAGGAGAGCCGUGGCUCGUGACAUCAGUCCCGUCCUGAUCCGUGGAUCAGGAUGCAUGCUUUCCAGUAGGGCGGUAGUAGAGUAGUAAAUGAGGGAUGGCACCAAGACGGAGUUGCCUCCAAUCUCUACCUGCCCUGUUUGUGCACUGUAGCUUGCGGCUAGCUGAGCGGCGGAGUUCAUCCUGCAAGAAUACACAGCUGGCAGCGCAAAAAUGGAGUUCCUGAUGCAACCAAUUAGGAGGUAGUCCCGUGUGCAGCUUUCAGCCGAGUACAUCUUUUUUUGGAGUUUGCAUGAAAUCUAUAUAAUAUUUCAAGAUUUGGGCAAUCCAGGACCACGUUGCUGGAUGAGGUUAAUGACAACAAGGUUCCAAUGGAGCCACUGCACUACCAUGCGGUGGCAACUGUUGCUGAUCAGUUGUCACCCAUGGCGGCAACGAGUGCUGGCGGGCAGAUCUGUGCGGCAGAGGGGGCGGCGGUCACGGAAGCAGAUGGUGAAGCGCAAGCAAAGUAGAUAUGCAAUUUGAAAUCGUGUGCCUAGAUAGGUAGUUGGCUGGGCUAGCUCGACAUGCAUUUGAAACAAUUGCUCUUCAGUUUCAGAAGGGACUGGCUGAGGACAAAUGCGGUUAACAAACAAAAAUAAAAUUAAAAACUGUAAUAGAGGAUAUAACAAAUGUAGAUAAAGCCUGUCAAUCUACUCCUGGAAUGGUUGGUAGACACAGCAUCUCAUGUGUAAUAGAAAUCAGCUGGGGAAAACUAUACUAAGCUGUACAGCAUAGUAGUACUGAAGACAGUUUCUCAAUUAUGAGUGUAGUUUUAGUGUGUUUUAACCAUAGUAAAAAUCUACUUGCAGUGACAUCAGUGGGCAUGAUUUUCAAUGAGAUACAAGAGCUAAGAGCAAAAUUAAUCUCAAAUGCAGAGUGGACACAGUAUGAUCUGAAAACACGAUAUGUGAUGGAAUUAGACAGUUUGAAAAAGCAAUUUAGUUUGGUUUGUGUCCUGUUCUGAUGAAUAUAAGGCAGUGAAGUCAUUCCUGAAUUUUAGUGUAAAGAUAGAGCAUAAUAGAAAAAAUAAAAAAUUAGUCCCAAGAGGAUAUUUGCCCGCCUGGGGGUGUAUGUUUAUCCGUUUUCAUGGGAAAAUGAUUAGAUCAGAGGAACAUUGCUAAAAAUCUGCUCACUGGAUUAAAACUGGUUGCUUUUGAUUCGAUAUGUUUGGCAACCUAUAGGUGCUGAUAAUAAUAAUACUGUCUGCAGGGUGAGGAUCGGAGCUGCCGCUCCCGGUAGGACGCCUUGUCCUAGUCGCACGAGCGCCCUUGAGAAGGCAAUAUGUGGUUUUGCGGAGAAUCCAGGGAAUGUGAUUGUGUCUGCAUCGGGUACAUUGAAGGAAAUCUUUUCUUGUACUGCAUAGCUUUAUACAUUGUCGUACCAGACCUGCGAGUUUUAUGGAUAGGCAUGUCUUUGAGAACAAUAAUAUCAUCACAGUUCUGUCCAUACAUAUUUAUCGUUCAUUCUUCUGAAAUUAUGUGGACAAUAUCAGCAUUUUUAUUACUUUACCGUCAUAUCUCAUUAAUUGAUAUAGUUCAGGUCCACACUGUGUUCACUGCUUUUAUAUCACGGACAGAUUAUCUAAGAAUUUAGAAGUGAUUUUCUUUUCACAUAAUGUAAGUUACUGUUGCACAUGCUUUAUUCACUUCAUGAUCUUGCAGUCUGAAUACCAAUUGAUAGUGAUAAUGCUCGUACUUCUAAAAAACCGUGGUUGAAUAAGGAGGGAUUGCACUUGCCUGGUUGUACGGUGCCAUUCAGUUAUCAGUAGUCUAGCACAUCAUUUGUGAAGCAUGAAAGGCAUGAAUCAAUUCUUUUCCAGGAUUCUGGCUUUGUUGACUGAAGUGGGUAUUGUUAGGAUCCAGAGCGGUUAAAUUCAGGAACUGUGAUUGUUAAUUAUGUAGUCUUAUUUGUGAUUUACCUGUAACUACAGUGCUAAUUCUACAUCUCUGAGUCUUAUUUGACUCUUGUUUAUUGGUAUUUGAUAGAUGAGCAGGAUAGGAAAGGUUAAUAUCGGAAGUGCUGUUCUGCGCCUGGGUGCAUACACACCCGAGCUGAACAGUAGUAAAUUUAGAAAAAAAGAUAGGAAUAAAUAAACUUUGAUUUUUUAUUGCAUUCUAUAUAUAGAAUUGUCCAAAUUCUUCUGAAGCAUCCAGAUACCAUUGCCAAACCAAACAUCAGGAUGUGGUUUGACCUGAUGGAUGAUUGCUGUGCUCACCAUGCCAUUGGAUGUAGGAAUUUAUGGGAUGGAAACUUUGAGAUCAUUAUGAACUUUGCCAGGAUACCCUUUUUGUAAUGGGAUUUUUUUGGAUUCAUAAUCUCUGUUUGUUCUUUUGCACAUGGCGGGAGCGGCCUGUUUCAGUCUUGGAUUACUAAUGCGUGCUGAGUUGCUGCUGCCUUUUGAUCAGAUUGUAAGUGUAAACUCAAACAGGUGGCGGAAGCCUGUGUUGCUGCCUUUGGGACAAGUGGAAGCAUCACUGCCUUUUCAUGUACAACCACGAGUAUGUUGUGGCUGCCGGAGCAGCUCUCCCCUGUGCCAGACAUUUGCUUCGCCGGUGCCGACAGACAGAUGGAGACGAUGGAUGAAGGAGCAACCGGUGGCUGGCAGCCAAGGCAAAGGCAAGGCAAGGAGGACCUUCCAGCUGCAUCCUCGGAGGAAAUACUGACCGUGAACUCAUCCGUCAUGGCGUUCUCCUGAUCCGUGGAAUGUACCGGAUGGAUUCCGAUCCCCGUGCCCGUCGCAGGUGCCGUUUGCUCGACGGCUGUCCACGGCCGUUGCUUUCGGUUUGCCGACUGGGGCUGGAGUGCAGGGCGUGCAAAGGUCCAAACUGAGCGCUGCCGUGCCAAGCUACGGUUAGCGUUGCUUUCACCCUUGGUCUCUUCUCCGUGUUUAUCUGAUUGCGCUGCAAUGCCGCAUGCAUCCGGUGUUUGUCUACUUCCGUGUCUUUCUUUUGCUGGCUGUCGACAAGUCGUGUAUUUUCCCUUUUGGAACUGAAGUCGAUCUACCUUGCACGCAAGGAGCGCGGAAUUCAGUCUAUAUUUUCUUGAUUUUCCUGAUAUAGUAUUUGAACAGUGUUCAACACUAUGUUUCUUAGCAAAAUACUUACUACCUCGUUAUAUUA